rnacentral:lncRNA from 1 species
CUCCUCCCUGCCUACAUCUAUAAAUAAAGCCUAAUGCCUCCAUUCAUAGUAUCUCUCUCCACUCCAUAAUUCUUAUAGGGGGUCUGUGUGACAGGCAGACAUACCCACUUUUAAAAUUUUUUUAGCCACCCUGUUCUCAUUUUCUUCCACCCUUCCAACACACGAGAAGGAGAGUCAGCUAGGGGAAGGUUGAUCCCAAGCC